UCCCCUUCCCUCCCCGCAGCUCCGCCGAUGCCGAGUACGCUGCUAGAGCCUAAAGAAAAACGUGGGAAUAGGGAAAAGGAUGGAAAUUGACACAUAGUUAACUUUAAAGGCCGACUGCGUUUAUAUCGAGGAGUAAACACAAAACCAUCUACUAAAGUCAGACAUGCCUUCUAUUUCAGGGCUAAUGGAAUGAGUCAUCGACAGAGUGGAUUAUUUAAAGCACCGUAGAUCCGGGUUUGGCUGAGGUUUAACCACUGGUGCAGAAGGUUGCAGGUACAUUGGGAGGAAAAUUAAGCUGUGAACUGGAAUUCCAUCAGGCUGUCUACUGUGAAGCCCCGUGGCUUUAGAAAAGGGGCAGUAGUGGUCAGAAAUGACACUCAGAAGUGUUCUUUUCUACUUUCCCAACAUCUUUGGACUAUGAAAGUGGAACAAGGAGUCUUUUGGGAAGACGAGAGGACUUGCCUGUAAAGGAUAAGAAAGUGGAGAAAAUCAUGCAAGGAUUGCCUUCUUUUUAAUAUGUCGAAAAGCCCCCAAAUAAGAGGUAAAAGCAUCGUAGGUGACCCACACUUGCUGCAAUUGCUGAGCAAGUCUGAUCCCCAGAUACCUGAGGAGAGUGUCACAGUGUGUUUGGUAACUGUGCAAUUUGGGAAUACCUGAGUUCUUCACUGCUUCUCUGUCUGGCCACUCUGAUGGAAGGGGUAAUGCCUGCAGACAUGAAGUGAGAACAGAUUGCUGAUGAGCUGCCUUGUGCUCUUUAGAUUUUAGUUUUCUGUGGAUUUUACUUGCCUGGACUGCCUACAGUUGUUUGUGCGCAGACAGGGUGGUUAUGUGCAAAUUCCCGUUAGACUUCUACCAGAAAACCCUUUAGGAGGACAGAGAAGAUGUUCCUCAGGUUUACUGGUCUGAAAACAAAUGGUUUGUGUGUGAGUCUGUGGCACAGUGGCUGUCCAUGGAUCACCCACUCCCUGCUGCCUUGGGGCACGGUCUGACAAAUCGUGUGUUCUUACUGUGCCACCACGUUAAACCCUCGCGUUGUUCCUUGGGCUGCAGUCUGGAGACAGAAGUCAGAAGACAUUUCAUUGGUUGAAUAUAUGUGGAAUGAAAACUAUUGCCAUUUGAGAGCAGCAUCUCACAGGGGGAAGGGAAGGAGGGAGGGCACAGGAGGAGUGUGUUGAUUGGGACUGACAUGCGCCUUAAUAUCUGAUGUGGCUUUCACACUUGGAAAUAUUCAGGACUCCAUAUGUUCCAAAAACCCCACUGAACAGUGCAUAUAACAUUGCCUUUAUCAUUCUUUAAUCUCAGUUUAAUUGCUGUGGUCAAAUUACCCCACACUUAAUAACCCACAGCUUGGUAUAUUAUUUAAUAUGGUUGACACAUACUUUGUUUUAAAUGUCAGUGCUGGUAAAGCCCUGGAGUUGGCAAUGCUGUGCAUGAUAGAUGGCAGAGGAGACGGAUCAUCUGUUCUUUGUCUGAGCUGUUGGUAUGUUGGCUGCAACUUUUUCAACUGUGACACUAGACUCAUGCCAAACCCAAAGCUACUGAAUGGGUAACAUUAUCCCUUGUAUCUGAUGUU